rnacentral:rRNA from 1 species
AGARUUUUGAUCAUGGCUCARGAUGAAACGCUGGCGGCGUGCUUAACACAUGCAAGUCGGRACGAUGAAAGCCCUUCGGGGUGGAUUAGUGGCGAACGGGUGAGUAACACGUGAGCAACCUGCCCUUGACUCUGGGAUAAGCCUGGGAAACUGGGUCUAAUACCGGAUAGUACCCUCUGCCGCAUGGUGGGGGGUGGAAAGCCUUGUGCGGUCUUGGAUGGGCUCGCGGCCUAUCAGCUUGUUGGUGGGGUGAUGGCCUACCAAGGCGACGACGGGUAGCCGGCCUGAGAGGGUGACCGGCCACACUGGGACUGAGACACGGCCCAGACUCCUACGGGAGGCAGCAGUGGGGAAUAUUGCACAAUGGGCGCAAGCCUGAUGCAGCGACGCCGCGUGGGGGAUGACGGCCUUCGGGUUGUAAACCCCUUUCGGCAGGGAACAAGCCGCUUCGGUGGUGAGGGUACCUGCGGAAGAAGCGCCGGCUAACUACGUGCCAGCAGCCGCGGUAAUACGUAGGGCGCGAGCGUUAUCCGGAAUUAUUGGGCGUAAAGAGCUCGUAGGCGGUUUGUCGCGUCUGCUGUGAAAGCCCGGGGCUCAACCCCGGGUCUGCAGUGGGUACGGGCAGGCUGGAGUGCAGUAGGGGAGACUGGAAUUCCUGGUGUAGCGGUGAAAUGCGCAGAUAUCAGGAGGAACACCGAUGGCGAAGGCAGGUCUCUGGGCUGUAACUGACGCUGAGGAGCGAAAGCAUGGGGAGCGAACAGGAUUAGAUACCCUGGUAGUCCAUGCCGUAAACGUUGGGCACUAGGUGUGGGGGCCAUUCCACGGUUUCCGCGCCGCAGCUAACGCAUUAAGU